UACGUAGGGCGCAAGCGUUGUCCGGAAUUAUUGGGCGUAAAGAGCUCGUAGGCGGCCAACUAAGUCAGACGUGAAAUCCCUCGGCUUAACCGGGGAACUGCGUCUGAUACUGGAUGGCUGGAGUUUGGGAGAGGGAUGCGGAAUUCCAGGUGUAGCGGUGAAAUGCGUAGAUAUCUGGAGGAACACCGGUGGCGAAGGCGGCAUCCUGGACCAACACUGGACGCUGAGGAGCGAAAGCCAGGG
rnacentral:rRNA from 1 species